CCUACGGGAGACAGCAGUGAGGAAUAUUGGUCAAUGGGCGCGAGCCUGAACCAGCCAAGUCGCGUGAGGGAAGACGGUCCUAUGGAUUGUAAACCUCUUUUGUCGGGGAGCAAAAGACGCCACGCGUGGCGUUCCGAGAGUACCCGAAGAAAAAGCAUCGGCUAACUCCGUGCCAGCAGCCGCGGUAAUACGGAGGAUGCGAGCGUUAUCCGGAUUUAUUGGGUUUAAAGGGAGCGCAGGCGGAAGAUCAAGUCAGAGGUAAAAUCGCGGGGCUCAACCUAGUUCCGCCGUUGAAACGGGCGUUCUUGAGUGGGCGAGAAGUAUGCGGAAUGCGUGGUGUAGCGGUGAAAUGCAUAGAUAUCACGCAGAACUCCGAUUGCGAAGGCAGCAUACCAGCGCCCAACUGACGCGGAAGCACGAAAGCGUGGGUAUCGAACAGGAUUAGAUACCCGGGUAGUC
rnacentral:rRNA from 1 species